UGGGCGUAAAGCGCUCGUAGGCGGAUUAGUAAGUUAGAGGUGAAAUCCCAGGGCUCAACCCUGGAACUGCCUUUGAAACUGCCGAUCUAGAGUUCAGGAGAGGUAAGCGGAAUUCCGAGUGUAGAGGUGAAAUUCGUAGAUAUUCGGAGGAACACCAGAGGCGAAGGCGGCUUACUGGACUGAUACUGACGCUGAGGUACGAAAGUGUGGGGAGCAAACAGGAUUAGAUACCCUGGUAGUCCACGCCGUAAACGAUGAGAGCUAGUUGUCAGCAAGCAUGCUUGUUGGUGACGCAGCUAACGCAUUAAGCUCUCCGCCUGGGGAGUACGGUCGCAAGAUUAAAACUCAAAGAAAUUGACGGGGGCCCGCACAAGCGGUGGAGCAUGUGGUUUAAUUCGAAGCAACGCGCAGAACCUUACCUACCCUUGACAUACCGAUCGCGAUUUCCAGAGAUGGAUUUCUUCAGUUAGGCUGGAUCGGAUACAGGUGCUGCAUGGCU
rnacentral:rRNA from 1 species